rnacentral:rRNA from 1 species
UCCUACGGGGAGGCAGCAGUAGGGAAUUUUCGUCAAUGGGGGGGAACCCUGAACGAGCAAUGCCGCGUGAGUGAGGAAGGUCUUCGGAUCGUAAAGCUCUGUUGUAAGAGAAAAACGGCACUCAUAGGGAAUGAUGAGUGAGUGAUGGUAUCUUACCAGAAAGUCACGGCUAACUACGUGC